GACAAUGAACAUGGCCUCGGAUAAGGCCUACGAUGCCAAAGAAAAGGUGGCGGGAGGAGUUGAUUAUGGAAGGGAAAGAGCAACGAAUUCAUAUGAUGAAGCGAAACAAAAGGUUGGGGAGUCGUACGCGUCUGCUAAGGCCUACGAUGCCAAAGAAAAGGUGGCAGGAGGAAUUGGUUACGGAAGGGAAAGAGCAGCGAAUUCAUAUGAUGAAGCUAAACAAAAGGUUGGGGAGUCGUACGCGUCUGUUAAGGAUAGUAUGACUUCGCAUGCCAAAGAUAACUAUGAGGCUGCCAAGGGAGGAAUCGAUUACGGAAGGGAAAGAGCAGCGGAUGCAUAUGGUGAAGCCAAACAAAAGGUUGGGGAUUCAUACGCGUCGGCUAAGGAUAGUAUGACUUCAAGUGCAAGGCAUAACUAUGAGGCCGCCAAGGAGUCCGCCUCACAAGCUGCUGGUGAUCUCGGGGCUACAAUGAGCAAUGCAGGUUCGGGCCAGUAAGGAAUUAAUUAAUUUUCCGCUGGCUGAGUGCAUGUUAGGUCCAUAAUCUGUGAUCAAUAUAUAUGUUUUUUCUCAGUAGCUAGGAAAAUGCUGGGAGUUUUGUGGUGUAUUAUGUAUAUGUUUCUUGUUUUCUCAUACUCUGCCUUGUAGAGUACGUGUAAACUUCUAAAAUCAAUUUUUAAUCCUGUACGUAUACAAGGAACUUGAGUUUUGUGUUUUUAUAUAUCAUGUAUCCUUGUAAACAUGCAAUGCCCUCUCUCUCUUGAAUGUAGGAAUAUUCAUACUCUCAACAUAGAUUCUUCUAAGUCACGGAUGUGACGCAAUUGGUUAGAUCGGUGUGUGUUUCCAUCUGUUCACUCAAGUUUAAGUUUGAAUAUUGCUCCCCGUAGUUACUGACUUGGAAUGAAUAUAGUUUAUAGUAAACAUGCAUGUACAUAUUUUUGCGUAACAGCAAUAUCGAAUAAGGUUCUUUUUCUUUAUACAAAUGAUGCGGAGGGAAGUUUCGAGCGCAUGAUUACAGAUGUUAAAAUAAAUACUCUAAUCAGAUGAGCGAUAAGUCUUUUAUACUCUGAGGAUGGUUUGAGUCUUUCUAGGGAAGGUUUUGUGAGUAUAUAAAUUUUGUAUUACCAAGUGAUGUAUUGUAAUUCUAAUGGACAACGGGUUAGCUUAUAUCUUUGGUUGCAAACUUGCGGUCGAAGUAUAAGAAAGAUACUAGGAGAUGUGUGACGAUAUGAUAAGAAAAACACUAGGGAGAUCAAAAUUUUUGUACCAUGUACAAUGCUAAAUCACCUGAUGUGGCAGCCCAUGUGGACAUGUCACCUAGUUUAAUAUAAAUUUAAGUUUCUGAAAAAACUUAAUCUAAAAUAAAGUUUGCUAUAUAAAUACAAUUUAUGUUGAAUAAUAAUCUUUGCCUAGCA
rnacentral:lncRNA from 1 species